GCUUUUGGCUUGCAGGCGCAUGUGGGCAUGAUUAUAGGUGAAUAUUAAUUAAUAUAGAUUAUGUCCUCAGAUUUUUCUAUUCUUAAAUCUUAAUGGCGAUUGAGUUCAUGAUCGGGAAAAGGAAAGGACGAUUGGGUUCGUUUUAACUGGCAUGGAUUCUCAGGGAGAAAAAAACAGAGGAAGAAGAUCUGCCCAGAAUUCGUAUAGUGGAUUAUCUGGUACUCUCAGAGUAUGCUAUCUCUUUCGUGUAUACUGUAUUUGCAGCUGUUGAAGAAAUGUUAAGGUCUACUCCAGCAAUAUACGGAGUGCCGUAUAAUUGAGAAUAAAUGUUGAGCUACGUCGUGUAUAUUAUGUACUUGUCCGACAUCGUAUGUUUAUUAAAGACGAGUAUCGAUUAUUUCUUGGUAUC